rnacentral:rRNA from 1 species
AGAGUGAACGCUGGCGGCAGGCCUAACACAUGCAAGUCGAACGGCAGCACAGGGGAGCUUGCUCCCUGGGUGGCGAGUGGCGGACGGGUGAGGACAACGUCGGAAUCUGCCUUUUUGUGGGGGAUAACGUAGGGAAACUUACGCUAAUACCGCAUACGACCCCAGGCCGGGAGGUUUGGGGUGAAAGCGGAGGACCUUCGGGCUUCGCGCAGAAAGAUGAGCCGACGUCGGAUUAGCUAGUUGGUGGGGUAAAGGCCCACCAAGGCGACGAUCCGUAGCUGGUCUGAGAGGAUGAUCAGCCACACUGGAACUGAGACACGGUCCAGACUCCUACGGGAGGCAGCAGUGGGGAAUAUUGGACAAUGGGCGCAAGCCUGAUCCAGCCAUGCCGCGUGUGUGAAGAAGGCCUUCGGUUGUAAAGCUACUUUGUUGGGAAGAAAAUCGACCCGGUUAAUACCCGGUGUUAGUGACGGUACCCAAAGAAUAAGCACCGGCUAACUCGUGCCAGCAGCCGCGUAACUCUA